rnacentral:rRNA from 1 species
UACGGAGGAUCCAAGCGUUAUCCGGAUUUAUUGGGUUAAAGGGUGCGUAGGUGGCCUAUUAAGUCAGGGGUGAAAGACGGUAGCUUAACUAUCGCAGUGCCUUUGAUACUGAUGGGCUUGAAUACAGUUGAAGUGGGCGGAAUGUGACAAGUAGCGGUGAAAUGCAUAGAUAUGUCACAGAACACCGAUUGCGAAGGCAGCUCACUAAAGUGUGAUUGACACUGAGGCACGAAAGCGUGGGGAUCAAACAGG